rnacentral:pre_miRNA from 1 species
UUUCUACUCCCUCUGUCCGAAAAUACUUGUCAUCAAAAUGGAUAAAAAGAUAUGUAUCUAAAACUAAAAUACAUCUAGAUACAUUUCCUUUUAUCCAUUUUGAUGACAAGUAUUUCCGGACGGAGGGAGUAUUUU